rnacentral:rRNA from 1 species
AGUGAACGCUGGCGGCAGGCCUAGUACAUGCAAGUCGAACGGCAGCACAGUGGAGCUUGCUCCAUGGGUGGCGAGUGGCGGACGGGUGAGGAAUACAUGGGAAUCUGCCCAGUCGUGGGGGAUAACGUAUGGAAACGUACGCUAAUACCGCAUGCGCCCUUCGGGGGAAAGUCGGGGACCGCAAGGCCUGACGCGAUUGGAUGAGCCCAUGUUCGAUUAGCUAGUUAGCGGGGUAACGGCCCACCAAGGCGACGAUCGAUAGCUGGUCUGAGAGGAUGAUCAGCCACACUGGAACUGAGACACGGUCCAGACUCCUACGGGAGGCAGCAGUAGGGAAUAUUGGACAAUGGGACGCAAGACCUGAUCCAGCCAUGCCGCGUGAGUGAAGAAGG